rnacentral:lncRNA from 1 species
AGAGAAGAAAUAAAAGCAAUAAUUGUGUUUGUUUGUGUCUAUUCAAAAGUCACACACACUUUUGCUUUUCUUCUUCGCAACCUCCGAGAAUUUUUCAUUCAUCCUUUUCAACAUAGAUACGCAUGUUUCUGUUUCUCUCCAGUCUCUUCAAAAGGUUGAUUUUUAAUGAUUUUGAAAAAGUUUAAUUUAUGGGUUUGAAAGAUUGUUGUUGUUUGAUUUUUUGGGUUUGAUUUUGAUGAUGAUAUUAUGUGUUGUUGUUAUUGAUUUGAUUUUCUGAGUUUAAUUUAUGGAUUUGAUUUAUGGGUUAUAUGAAGAUUGACUAAGAAGUAUGAAUGUGAUGAUGAAGGAGAUGAAGGAAGAAUAAGAAAUAAGAAAAAGGGCUUAAUAAGUCAUUUGGUCUCUUAAUUAAUUUCAAGUUUUCAUUUUGGUCCCAUAACUAAUAAAAUUCAUGUUUUGGUCCUUCAAUUGUAUCUCCGUCGGUCAAAUAAAUCUCUGACUGUUAAGUUUAACCCCAAAUGCUUAUAGUGAACUAACUUUAAGGGUGGUCCACUAUAGACCUUAUUAAAUCUUUAAUUUAAACCGUUUGAUAUAUUUUUUAAAAAGAUGACCAUUUGAUUAUGCAUGUCUAUUAUAACUUACCGUGUACCAACAACUAAUUUUUUUCCCUUUCUUUCUUCAUCUUCUACCUUACUAAUCUUCAUCAUCUUCAACUCACAUUUUCAAACAUUCAUCAAAGAACUUCAUCGAAAAAUAUCCAGAAAAAUAAAUGUUUCAUAUCUAUCACAAAUCACAAAUAAAAAACAACAAGAACCAUAUCCAAUUUCAUCUCCAAUUUCAACUUCAACAAUUUCAAUGGAGAAGUGAUUAAAGACUUAGUGUCGUUUGCAUAAUUGACAUUCCUUUCACUAAACAUUGCUGCUAUAUUCAAUUUAGCCUUAUGGGUCAUAUUUUUUUUACUUAUUCUCUUCAUUAACUAUCAGAUCCAAAAUCUCGAUAUAGCUACAUCUCACGACGACCAAGCUGCACCUGGUGCUACAAUAACUCAUGUUUGUUAUUGUUUCCAGAAACAAAUUGCAGCUUAUUGUUAAUGGCCAGGCAUUGAAGAGAUAAAGGGUCGAGGAAGGGUGGAGUCUUGAAAAUGGGUCAUGCGUGGUGCAGUGGCGGAACUGGGGUGGCAAGGGGGAGCCACCGCCACCCCAUUAUUUAAAUGCUUCCUGUUUAUCCCACAAAAUAGCCAAACUUGAUACAGUGUUGCGUCUAAAUGCUUC